CCUACGGGUGGCAGCAGUGAGGAAUAUUGGUCAAUGGGCGGGAGCCUGAACCAGCCAAGUCGCGUGAGGGAUGACGGCCCUAUGGGUUGUAAACCUCUUUUGCCGGGGAGCAAAGUGCCGCACGUGUUCGGUUUGGAGAGUACCCGGAGAAAAAGCAUCGGCUAACUCCGUGCCAGCAGCCGCGGUAAUACGGAGGAUGCGAGCGUUAUCCGGAUUUAUUGGGCGUAAAGAGUUCGUAGGCGGCAUGUAAAGUCAGGUGUUAAAGGCGCAGGCUCAACCUGUGUAUGGCACUUGAUACUUGCAAGCUGGAAUGCGGUAGAGGAAAAGGGAAUUCCUGGUGUAGCGGUGAAAUGCUUAGAUAUCAGGAGGAACAUCGGUGGCGUAAGCGCUUUACUGGGCCGUAAUUGACGCUGAGGAACGAAAGCCAGGGUAGCAAAUGGGAUUAGAUACCCUUGUAGUC
rnacentral:rRNA from 1 species